AUGAACGCUAGCUACAGGCUUAACACAUGCAAGUCGAGGGGCAGCAUGAACUUAGCUUGCUAAGUUUGAUGGCGACCGGCGCACGGGUGAGUAACACGUAUCCAACCUGCCGAUGACUCGGGGAUAGCCUUUCGAAAGAAAGAUUAAUACCCGAUGGCAUAGUUCUUCCGCAUGGUAGAACUAUUAAAGAAUUUCGGUCAUCGAUGGGGAUGCGUUCCAUUAGGUUGUUGGCGGGGUAACGGCCCACCAAGCCUUCGAUGGAUAGGGGUUCUGAGAGGAAGGUCCCCCACAUUGGAACUGAGACACGGUCCAAACUCCUACGGGAGGCAGCAGUGAGGAAUAUUGGUCAAUGGACGAGAGUCUGAACCAGCCAAGUAGCGUGAAGGAUGACUGCCCUAUGGGUUGUAAACUUCUUUUAUACGGGAAUAAAGUGAGGCACGUGUGCCUUUUUGUAUGUACCGUAUGAAUAAGGAUCGGCUAACUCCGUGCCAGCAGCCGCGGUAAUACGGAGGAUCCGAGCGUUAUCCGGAUUUAUUGGGUUUAAAGGGAGCGUAGGCGGACGCUUAAGUCAGUUGUGAAAGUUUGCGGCUCAACCGUAAAAUUGCAGUUGAUACUGGGUGUCUUGAGUACAGUAGAGGCAGGCGGAAUUCGUGGUGUAGCGGUGAAAUGCUUAGAUAUCACGAAGAACUCCGAUUGCGAAGGCAGCCUGCUGGACUGUAACUGACGCUGAUGCUCGAAAGUGUGGGUAUCAAACAGGAUUAGAUACCCUGGUAGUCCACACAGUAAACGAUGAAUACUCGCUGUUUGCGAUAUACAGUAAGCGGCCAAGCGAAAGCGUUAAGUAUUCCACCUGGGGAGUACGCCGGCAACGGUGAAACUCAAAGGAAUUGACGGGGGCCCGCACAAGCAGUGGAGUAUGUGGUUUAAUUCGACGCAACGCGAAGAACCUUACCAGGUCUUGACAUCCGAUGCAUAGUGCAGAGAUGCAUGAAGUCCUUCGGGACAUCGAGACAGGUGGUGCAUGGUUGUCGUCAGCUCGUGUCGUGAGAUGUUGGGUUAAGUCCCGCAACGAGCGCAACCCCUGUACUUAGUUGCCAGCAUGUAGAGAUGGGAACUCUAAGUAGACUGCCGCGAAUAACGCGGAGGAAGGUGGGGAUGACGUCAAAUCAUCAUGCCCUUUAUGUCCUGGGCUACACACGUACUACAAUGGCUGUAACAGAGGGAAGCAACAUAGAGAUGUGAAGCAAAUCCCAAAAAGCAGUCUCAGUUCGGAUUGAAGGCUGAAAUUCGCCUUCAUGAAGCCGGAAUUGCUAGUAAUGGCAGGUCAGCAUACUGCCGUGAAUACGUUCCCGGGCCUUGUACACACCGCCCGUCACACCAUGAGAGUUGGGAAUACCCGAAGCCUGUGAGCUAACUGAAAAGAGGCAGCAGUCGAAGGUAGAAUCAAUGAUUGGGGUG
rnacentral:rRNA from 1 species